rnacentral:tRNA from 1 species
GGGGUUAUGGUGUAAUGGCAGCAUAGUGGGCUCCAGACCUUCUGAUCGGGGUUCGAAUCCUCGUAACCCCACCA